CUCUCCUGCGGAGCUACAGAGCUGUCUGUAUGUCUGCUCACGAGUUUAUGGACUAAUAUCGGGAUAGUUUUACAUCUACACCUUAAAUAUGAGCAUCGGGACGUCAACAGAGAACAGAAGACUUGAGAUCUGAGCACCAGUGGACAGUGAAGACUAUGGAACAGAACAUGUGAUGGCUUUGUGUGGAAAGCUGCAGAAGCCAGCCGGUGACUCCUCAUCAGUCUCUCCAGGCAGCACCCAGCUAUUCUUCCAUCUUGUAGAUGAAAAGACUUUGAUAUCACCUGGACACAGCAGGAACCUACACCAGGAUCUUGUUUGUGGUCUUCAGCUCCGCCUUCAACACCAUCAUCCCGGCUCUGCUGCAGGACAAGCUCUACCAGCUGCACGUGCCCGUCUCCACCUGCAGGUGGAUCACAGACUUCCUGUCUGGGUAGAGCUAACAAACAAGCUAGCUGGUUAGCUUGUUGGUUAGCACCUGUCAACUGAUAAAAGUGAC